UGGGGAAUAUUGGACAAUGGGCGCAAGCCUGAUCCAGCCAUGCCGCGUGAGUGAAGAAGGCCUUAGGGUUGUAAAGCUCUUUCGCCGGGGACGAUAAUGACGGUACCCGGAGAAGAAGCCCCGGCUAACUCCGUGCCAGCAGCCGCGGUAAGACGGAGGGGGCUAGCGUUGUUCGGAAUUACUGGGCGUAAAGCGCACGUAGGCGGUGGUUCAAGUUGGGGGUGAAAUCCCGGGGCUCAACCCCGGAAUUGCCUCCAAGACUGGAUUGCUGGAGUCCGGAAGAGGAGAGCGGAAUUCCCAGUGUAGAGGUGAAAUUCGUAGAUAUUGGGAAGAACACCAGUGGCGAAGGCGGCUCUCUGGUCCGGGACUGACGCUGAGGUGCGAAAGCGUGGGGAGCAAACAGG
rnacentral:rRNA from 1 species